GAUGAACGCUGGCGGCGUGCCUAAUACAUGCAAGUCGAGCGAACGGACGAGAAGCUUGCUUCUCUGAUGUUAGCGGCGGACGGGUGAGUAACACGUGGAUAACCUACCUAUAAGACUGGGAUAACUUCGGGAAACCGGAGCUAAUACCGGAUAAUAUUUUGAACCGCAUGGUUCAAAAGUGAAAGACGGUCUUGCUGUCACUUAUAGAUGGAUCCGCGCUGCAUUAGCUAGUUGGUAAGGUAACGGCUUACCAAGGCAACGAUGCAUAGCCGACCUGAGAGGGUGAUCGGCCACACUGGAACUGAGACACGGUCCAGACUCCUACGGGAGGCAGCAGUAGGGAAUCUUCCGCAAUGGGCGAAAGCCUGACGGAGCAACGCCGCGUGAGUGAUGAAGGUCUUCGGAUCGUAAAACUCUGUUAUUAGGGAAGAACAUAUGUGUAAGUAACUGUGCACAUCUUGACGGUACCUAAUCAGAAAGCCACGGCUAACUACGUGCCAGCAGCCGCGGUAAUACGUAGGUGGCAAGCGUUAUCCGGAAUUAUUGGGCGUAAAGCGCGCGUAGGCGGUUUUUUAAGUCUGAUGUGAAAGCCCACGGCUCAACCGUGGAGGGUCAUUGGAAACUGGAAAACUUGAGUGCAGAAGAGGAAAGUGGAAUUCCAUGUGUAGCGGUGAAAUGCGCAGAGAUAUGGAGGAACACCAGUGGCGAAGGCGACUUUCUGGUCUGUAACUGACGCUGAUGUGCGAAAGCGUGGGGAUCAAACAGGAUUAGAUACCCUGGUAGUCCACGCCGUAAACGAUGAGUGCUAAGUGUUAGGGGGUUUCCGCCCCUUAGUGCUGCAGCUAACGCAUUAAGCACUCCGCCUGGGGAGUACGACCGCAAGGUUGAAACUCAAAGGAAUUGACGGGGACCCGCACAAGCGGUGGAGCAUGUGGUUUAAUUCGAAGCAACGCGAAGAACCUUACCAAAUCUUGACAUCCUUUGACAACUCUAGAGAUAGAGCUUUCCCCUUCGGGGGACAAAGUGACAGGUGGUGCAUGGUUGUCGUCAGCUCGUGUCGUGAGAUGUUGGGUUAAGUCCCGCAACGAGCGCAACCCUUAAGCUUAGUUGCCAUCAUUAAGUUGGGCACUCUAAGCUGACUGCCGGUGACAAACCGGAGGAAGGUGGGGAUGACGUCAAAUCAUCAUGCCCCUUAUGAUUUGGGCUACACACGUGCUACAAUGGACAAUACAAAGGGCAGCGAAACCGCGAGGUCAAGCAAAUCCCAUAAAGUUGUUCUCAGUUCGGAUUGUAGUCUGCAACUCGACUACAUGAAGCUGGAAUCGCUAGUAAUCGUAGAUCAGCAUGCUACGGUGAAUACGUUCCCGGGUCU
rnacentral:rRNA from 1 species